GACGAACGCUGGCGGCGUGCUUAACACAUGCAAGUCGAACGGAAAGGCCCUGCUUUUGUGGGGUGCUCGAGUGGCGAACGGGUGAGUAACACGUGAGUAACCUGCCCUUGACUUUGGGAUAACUUCAGGAAACUGGGGCUAAUACCGGAUAGGCGCUCCUGCUGCAUGGUGGGGGUGGGAAAGUUUCGGCGGUAGGGGAUGGACUCGCGGCUUAUCAGCUUGUUGGUGGGGUAGUGGCUUACCAAGGCUUUGACGGGUAGCCGGCCUGAGAGGGUGACCGGCGACAUUGGGACUGAGAUACGGCCCAGACUCCUACGGGAGGCAGCAGUGGGGAAUAUUGCACAAUGGGCGGAAGCCUGAUGCAGCAACGCCGCGUGCGGGAUGACGGCCUUCGCGUUGUAAACCGCUUUCGCCUGUGACGAAGCGUUAGUGACGGUAAUGGAUAAAGAAGCACCGGCUAACUACGUG
rnacentral:rRNA from 1 species